UAGGGAAUCUUGCACAAUGGGCGCAAGCCUGAUGCAGCGACGCCGCGUGCGGGAAGACGGCCUUCGGGUUGUAAACCGCUUUCAGGAGGGACGAAGCCACUCGGGUGAAUAGCCCAGAGGGUGACGGUACCUCCAGAAGAAGCCCCGGCUAACUACGUGCCAGCAGCCGCGGUAAUACGUAGGGGGCAAGCGUUGUCCGGAUUUAUUGGGCGUAAAGCGCGUGUAGGCGGCCAGGUAGGUCGGUUGUGAAAAUUGGAGGCUCAACCUCCAGACGUCGAUCGAAACCAUCUGGCUAGAGUCCGGAAGAGGAGAAUGGAAUUCCUGGUGUAGCGGUGAAAUGCGCAGAUAUCAGGAAGAACACCGAUGGCGAAGGCAGUUCUCUGGGACGGUACUGACGCUGAGACGCGAAAGCGUGGGGAGCGAACAG
rnacentral:rRNA from 1 species